rnacentral:rRNA from 1 species
UACGAAGGGGGCUAGCGUUGCUCGGAAUCACUGGGCGUAAAGCGCACGUAGGCGGAUUGUUAAGUCAGGGGUGAAAUCCUGGAGCUCAACUCCAGAACUGCCUUUGAUACUGGCGAUCUUGAAUCCGGGAGAGGUGAGUGGAACUGCGAGUGUAGAGGUGAAAUUCGUAGAUAUUCGCAAGAACACCAGUGGCGAAGGCGGCUCACUGGCCCGGUACUGACGCUGAGGUGCGAAAGCGUGGGGAGCAAACAGGG